AGAACAAAUUAAAAUGGGCCUAACUGGUUUGUAUCACUUACUUGUAUUAUUGCAGGAACUAAUGUUUAACUAACUCAUUUUCUUACGAAGCAAUAUUAUGAAGUAUUAAACUUCAAUCAAGUUCAGGCCGGACCAAUUUUUACCCCAAAUGGAUAAUUCAGGCUGGGUUUGGCCAUUUGGGCAUGAGUUAUCCAAAUAUUUUUAAGCCUAAGCCGGGCCCGAAGCUAAAAAAAAUCAGGCCGGGUUUGAGUAGAGACAUGGCCGGCCCACUUCCAGCCCUAGCGCAUGUUCAAGAACGACCAGGUGCCCAACUACACUCUCUAGUGCAACCCUUCAUAGCGUCUGGAGAAGCAAUCAUGCCAACGAUGAAGAAGUGCAUCAGUUAUUUUAACAAGCAAACUAAUGAUGAUCGGGUCAUUUCUAGUCAUAAUGGGCCGCUGUUGGGUCUAACAGGACAUGAGGGGGCCUGUUAACAGCCCAGAUACUAUCCGAAACUGGUGCGUCGCACGUGUCUCCGAGCCAUGUAGAAUAAGAGAGGAGGAACCUAUAAAAUGGCUUGAAGGAAACCCGCUGGGUUUCUCUCAUCCGGAGGCCACCGCCAAAGGCUUCGAUCCUUCGCGUCGCUCCCUUCCUUUACCCUCGCCUCGCCAGUCUCGCUCUCUCCCUCCGCAUACUCCCUUCAAGACUCCCGACUUGUAGAGACUUCGCUUCCCCUCUCUUCUCUUCCACCUCGCAGUCUUCGGUCUCUCCUCCCCCUUCCGAACCCCGGCCCUAACCCCGACGAGUUCUCCGUUGCAUCGUGCCUCAAGAACCGCGCUCUCGGGAGGCGCAUCAGGUUCAUGGCGACCUCACCUUCCUCAACCCUAGGUAUCCCUCUGGAUUGUUCAGGGAAUGUUGCUGAUGGAUAACUCUGGUUGAUAAGUAUUUGAUCUCCGGAUUGUUUAUUCUCAGCCAAAAGAAUCUAUAAACAAGAAGAUGAACAUUGGAUCUAUAGAGGUAUGAUGGAGACUCCUAUUGCAUUGUGCCUCAAGAGCCGUGCUCUCCUGCGACCUGGGGGUCACGGCGGCCUUACCUUCCUCAACCCUAGAGGUCCCCCUGGGAUUGUUCAGGUGCGUUUCUUUUAGGUUGCUCGUGGUUUAGCUUUCCUUUGCGCGUUAUUUCCUUCUUCUGAGAUUUCUCUUCUUAAUUCUUGGUAACGGAGUGGUGCUAAACAAUGUCACUGAAUAUUAUUUUUGUUUUUUAAAUUAUAAAUUGCAAUGCUCUUUGAUGAUUCUUUAAAUUA